CGCCAGCCGAUCCAGUGAGUGCUGAAGGUCACAGGCCGAUGAUCCUUGCAUAAUCUUCAGAGUUUAAUAGGCAGAGCUGCAUCGUGUGUCCGUGGCACCAGUACAAGAUCACCCUGGGGGAGGGCGAGGCGCUGUUCCAGGCCGUAGACGACCCCACCCGCCGACCUCUGAGGACCCACUGGCGUUUCAAGGGGGUCAAACAAAGAGUUCACAAGGUCCGAGAGGUCAACGGUCACCGUAACACUGAGCGACUCCAGCGAGAUCAUGGAGUCGGAUGCCUACGAGACAGAGAAAUACAGGACGUUGUGGUUCAAAGCAGGUCCAAAGUCAAGCCCUGAAUGUUAUAAAAAAUAAAAAGCAAUUUGAAAACAUCAA